CUCCUUUGACGUUAGCGGCGGACGGGUGAGUAACACGUGGGUAACCUACCUAUAAGACUGGGACAACUUCGGGAAACCGGAGCUAAUACCGGAUAAUAUGUUGAACCGCAUGGUUCAAUAGUGAAAGAUGGUUUUGCUAUCACUUAUAGAUGGACCCGCGCCGUAUUAGCUAGUUGGUGAGGUAACGGCUCACCAAGGCAACGAUACGUAGCCGACCUGAGAGGGUGAUCGGCCACACUGGAACUGAGACACGGUCCAGACUCCUACGGGAGGCAGCAGUAGGGAAUCUUCCGCAAUGGGCGAAAGCCUGACGGAGCAACGCCGCGUGAGUGAUGAAGGUCUUAGGAUCGUAAAACUCUGUUAUUAGGGAAGAACAAACGUGUAAGUAACUGUGCACGUCUUGACGGUACCUAAUCAGAAAGCCACGGCUAACUACGUGCCAGCAGCCGCGGUAAUACGUAGGUGGCAAGCGUUAUCCGGAAUUAUUGGGCGUAAAGCGCGCGUAGGCGGUUUUUUAAGUCCGAUGUGAAAGCCCACGGCUCAACCGUGGAGGGUCAUUGGAAACUGGAAAACUUGAGUGCAGAAGAGGAAAGUGGAAUUCCAUGUGUAGCGGUGAAAUGCGCAGAGAUAUGGAGGAACACCAGUGGCGAAGGCGACUUUCUGGUCUGUAACUGACGCUGAUGUGCGAAAGCGUGGGGAUCAAACAGGAUUAGAUACCCUGGUAGUCCACGCCGUAAACGAUGAGUGCUAAGUGUUAGGGGGUUUCCGCCCCUUAGUGCUGCAGCUAACGCAUUAAGCACUCCGCCUGGGGAGUACGACCGCAAGU
rnacentral:rRNA from 1 species